UAAAUACUCCCUCCGUCCCAAAAUUCUUGUUUUAGACUUGAUACAUCCGUAUCUAGACAAAUCUAAGACAAGAAUUUUGGGACGGAGGGAGUAUUUG
rfam:Triticum aestivum genome assembly, contig: Triticum_aestivum_CS42_TGACv1_scaffold_030387_1BL